CCAACCGUUGCAUAAAUCCGAAAGCAUGACCUCCUUUUCUCCCCUUCUCUUCCUGAGAACCCUUUUCUUCUCCCUCUCAUCCUUUGCUUUCUUGUUACUUUCAUGUUGCUCCCUAUUUCACCCGUUUCAACUUGUUCUACUGCUUCUGAUGAACAAGCAGAGGCUCUGUUGAAGUGGAAAUCCAGCCUCCUCCACAACCAAACCACCCACUCUGAACUUCUACCUUCCUGAAAACUCUCCAAUUCUUCUUCUUCUUCUACUCAUUCCCACCCUUGCAUUAAUUGGGUUGGUAUUGUUUGCAAUCAGCAUGGCAGCGUCUCCAACAUAACACUACGGGAUAUGGGUUUGCAAGUGACCUCUACGGUGAAAUUCCAUCAGAGAUCGCUAUGCUUACAAGUCUUCAGUUCUUGUAUCUUGGUGGUAAUCUUCUCAGUGGUUCCAUUCCAUCGGGUCUAGGAAAGAAAUCACCUUAUCGAAUCAGGGGAAGUUUGUUGAAGAUCCUAGGAGAUGUGGAGAGGGCAACAGAGUUCGAUUGGAUCAAGAGAAUAACUGUAAUUAAAGGUGUGGCCAAUGCUCUAUCUUACAUGCACCAUGAUUGCUCCCCACCAAUAAUUCAUAGAGAUAUAUCUAGUCGCAAUAUUUUGUUGGAUUCAGAGUAUGAGGCUCGUGUGUCAAACUUCAGCAUUGCAAGGCUUCUAAUGCGUGAUUCAAGCAAUUGAACUUCUCUUGCAGGCACUUAUGGCUAUCUUGCUCCGGAGUUUGCUUAUACAAUGAGUUUGCAGAAAAGUGUGAUAUGUACAGCUUUGGUGUGGUAACGAUUGAAACAUUAAUCGAAAGGCACCCUGGUGAACUUCUUUCAUCUUUGUCACUAUCAUCGUUAUCAUUGUUGGCAACAUCAUCUACUGUGCAAACCAUGAUGUUGAAAGAUGUUUUAGAUCAACGGCUCCCUCCUCCCACAAUUGAAGUUUAUGGAGCAGUGGUUUCUAUUGUAAACAUGUCAUUUACAUGUUUGAUUAUUGAUCCACAAUCUCGCCCAACCAUGAAACAUGUGUCUCAGAAGCUAUCAUCUCACAACCCAUUUUCUAUUGAGUCAUUUCACACAAUCACAUUAGGAGAAACCUUGCAUGGGGGAAGAGUACUCAGUUAGAUGCAAACUCAUCAUCUCUCUUGGUAGAGAAAUCCAAUAUGUAAGAUAUAAUCCCAAUGAUGAUUUUUUCAAGGAAGAUAUGUGCUAAGUGGAUUUGGUUUCUUGUUGUUUUCUUUGUAAUAUUUUUUUUUGGGUAGCGUCUUCUUUAUAGUUUUACAUGCUACUAAUAAGAAGGUGGAAAUCACUUUCCAAUGA